rnacentral:rRNA from 1 species
GACGGGUGAGUAAUGUCUGGGAAACUGCCUGAUGGAGGGGGAUAACUACUGGAAACGGUAGCUAAUACCGCAUAACGUCUUCGGACCAAAGUGGGGGACCUUCGGGCCUCACGCCAUCGGAUGUGCCCAGAUGGGAUUAGCUAGUAGGUGGGGUAAUGGCUCACCUAGGCGACGAUCCCUAGCUGGUCUGAGAGGAUGACCAGCCACACUGGAACUGAGACACGGUCCAGACUCCUACGGGAGGCAGCAGUGGGGAAUAUUGCACAAUGGGCGCAAGCCUGAUGCAGCCAUGCCGCGUGUGUGAAGAAGGCCUUCGGGUUGUAAAGCAC